AGCGAACGCUGGCGGCAGGCUUAACACAUGCAAGUCGAGCGGGCAUCCUUGUGGUGUCAGCGGCAGACGGGUGAGUAACGCGUGGGAACGUGCCCUUCGGUUCGGAAUAACUCAGGGAAACUUGAGCUAAUACCGGAUACGUGCGAGAGCAGAAAGGUUUAUCUGCCGAAGGAUCGGCCCGCGUCUGAUUAGCUAGUUGGUGAGGUUAUGGCUCACCAAGGCGACGAUCAGUAGCUGGUCUGAGAGGAUGAUCAGCCACACUGGGACUGAGACACGGCCCAGACUCCUACGGGAGGCAGCAGUUGGGAAUAUUGGACCAUGGGGGCAACCCUGAUCCAGCCAUGCCGCGUGAGUGAUGACGGCCUUAGGGUUGUAAAGCUCUUUUCUCCGGGACGAUAAUGACGGUACCGGAGGAAUAAGCCCCGGCUAACUUCGU
rnacentral:rRNA from 1 species